UCUGAUUGUGCUCCGCCGCAGAAGAUUCAGAGAGAAGAUGAUGAUUCCACUCAGAUCAUCAACGAAGAGCUCGUGGGCUGCGUUCACGACGUCUCCUUCCCUGAAAACUACCUUCCUCCUGCUCCCUCUGCUCAAGAAAACAACAAACCACCGGCCAAAGAGUUCCCUUUCACCCUUGACUCCUUCCAGUCUGAAGCUAUCAAGUGUCUCGAUAAUGGCGAAUCUGUCAUGGUAAGCUGACUAAUCCAUUUCAAGUUCCAAACUUUAACGUUCCUUAUGCAAUAAAACUGUGUAGAGAUCAUCUUAGGUUCGGAAAGAAUGGUUUUUGAUGUCUGAAUCUGUCUAAUUGAUUCUUUGGUUUCUGUCAUUAGAGUGACUCAAGCUGAAAAAUCGUUUUUAAGAUCCAAACUUUAACUGUCAUCAUGUAGAUAUUUUUUAUAUAAUUUUCAUAAAAAUUCACCAUGCGCAAGGCUCAAGCCUUAUCCUAGUUAAUAGUUAUCACCAUAUUAAAAAAAAAUCUUUCAAAAAAUAUAUAGAACUUGAUAAGAAAAAAUGUACAUGUCAUAAUUAAAUUGGUAUCAUGUCACAAUUUUCCAAAGUCAUGUCAUCAUUUUUUCUUAGAGUAAUUGUAAUAAUAAUAACACAUGUACUAAUCACUUGGUAUAUAAUGUAUAGGGGAUGCAAUUUAUGGUAAGAGGACAAUAGAGUUAUUUGAUGUUCUAUUUUAGCAAUUUUUUUUUGAACAUCACAUAGUUGAAUCUAGGCCUAGGCAUUUUGGAUAUCGGUUCGGUUCGGUUUGGAUAUUUCGGGUAUCGGGUAGUUCGAGUAAAGAGCUAGAUAAUCCUUUUACUACAUGACCUAUUGUUGGUUCGGUUUGGUUUGGAUAGUUUCAGAUUCAGUUCAGAUAGUAAAACUUAGAAACAUAAAAUAUCCGGAAAAUUUUGUUUCUCAUUUGCUUAUGGUUCCUGUUCGGUUAUUUCGGGCAAUUCAAGUAAAAUAUUGAGUAUUUUGAGUAUAAUAUAGAAUAAUUUAGAUGAUUCGGAUAAAAAUCUUGGAUAUUUUGGAUAUUUCAGAUAAAACCAUCCAGAUAUUUUCAGAUAAUUUCGGAUAGUUUGGAUACUUUAUAAUAAUUUAUUUAUUUUAAAAAUAUUUUUGAAUAGUCUUGAAAGAUUUUUAAAUUAUAAAUAUAUAUUUAGCUAUGUUUUAUUAAUGUUAGAUUAGAUAUAGAAAUAUAGGGACCAUUUAAAGUUUCGGUUCGAUUAUGGUUUCCAAUAUUUCGGUUCGAUUCCGGUUUUUAUAAGUUGCAUCCAUAAACCUUGAAGCUGAUGUGAUUUUAGGGUUUUUGUUAUUGGGAGAAAGUUUAUGUACGUUAUCCCAAAAACACCCUGUUCGUCACUUUCUUAUUACAACACCUAUUAGUCUCCAUAUACCGUUUGUUCGCCGCUAAGUCCUCCACGGCGAUUUCAUCUUCCAUACUAGCACUCGCCUGUGUCAGAAAGCUAUACAAAACCCAUUCUCCAUGGGCUCGGUGAAGAGAAAAUCAGUGGAGGAAUCUUCUGAUUGUGCUCCGCCGCAGAAGAUUCAGAGAGAAGAUGAUGAUUCCACUCAGAUCAUCAACGAAGAGCUCGUGGGCUGCGUUCACGACGUCUCCUUCCCUGAAAACUACCUUCCUCCUGCUCCCUCCUCUCAAGAAAACAACAAACCACCGGCCAAAGAGUUCCCUUUCACCCUUGACUCCUUCCAGUCUGAAGCUAUCAAGUGUCUCGAUAAUGGCGAAUCUGU
rnacentral:lncRNA from 1 species